UUCCUUUUUUUUCCCCUUUUUUCCCUUUUUUUUUUUUUUUUUUUUUAUUCAAGCCAGCGUCAACCUAGUAAAAUUAAUUUUCUAAUGAUAAUUAUAGUAGAGCCACGCAAAUAAUUUCUUGCAUCUAUUUGACUAAGUCGAAAAGUCAACUUGAUAUUAUGCAUUUAAUUUUUUUCAAACGGGUCAUACUUCACAUUUCUUGCUGCUACUAAUAAGAUAUGCGACAAAACAAGAAUCAAAGAAAAAU
rnacentral:ribozyme from 15 species